rnacentral:rRNA from 1 species
GACGAACGCUGGCGGCGUGCUUAACACAUGCAAGUCGAACGAUGAACCCGGAGCUUGCUCCGGUGGAUUAGUGGCGAACGGGUGAGUAACACGUGAGUAACCUGCCCUUGACUCUGGGAUAACUGCGGGAAACUGUAGCUAAUACCGGAUACGACCCUCGGAGGCAUCUCCUGGGGGUGGAAAGAAUUUCGGUCAAGGAUGGACUCGCGGCCUAUCAGCUAGUUGGUGAGGUAAAGGCUCACCAAGGCGACGACGGGUAGCCGGCCUGAGAGGGUGACCGGCCACACUGGGACUGAGACACGGCCCAGACCCCUACGAGAGGCAGCAGUGGGGAAUAUUGCACAAUGGGCGCAAGCCUGAUGCAGCAACGCCGCGUGAGGGAUGACGGCCUUCGGGUUGUAAACCUCUUUUAGCAGGGAAGAAGCGAAAGUGACGGUACCUGUAGAAAAAGCACCGGCUAACUACGUGCCAGCCGCCGCCGUAA